GAUGAACGCUGGCGGCGUGCUUUAACACAUGCAAGUCGAGCGAAGCACUUUACUUUGUAUUUCUUCGGAAUGAAGAGUGAUUUGACUGAGCGGCGGACGGGUGGAGUAACGCGUGGGCAACCUGCCUCAUACAGGGGAGUAACAGUUAGAAAUGACUGCUAAUACCGCAUAAGACCACAGUACCGCAUGGUAUGGUGGUAAAAACUCCGGUGGUAUGAGAUGGGCCCGCGUCUGAUUAGGUAGUUGGUGGGGUAACGGCCUACCAAGCCGACGAUCAGUAGCCGACCUGAGAGGUGACCGGCCACAUUGGGACUGAGACACGGCCCAAACUCCUGCGGGAGGCAGCAGUGGGGAAUAUUGCACAAAUGGGGAAAACCCUGAUGCAGCGACGCCGCGUGAAGGAUGAAGUAUUUCGGUAUGUAAACUUCUAUCAGCAGGGAAGAAAAUGACGGUACCUGACUAAGAAGCCCCGGCUAACUACGUGCCAGCCGCCGCAG
rnacentral:rRNA from 1 species